CACGUAGGGUGCAAGCGUUGUCCGGAAUUAUUGGGCGUAAAGAGCUCGUAGGCGGUGUGUCGCGUCGGCCGUGAAAACCUGCAGCUUAACUGUGGGCUUGCGGUCGAUACGGGCAUCACUGGAGUUCGGCAGGGGAGACUGGAAUUCCUGGUGUAGCGGUGAAAUGCGUAGAGAUCAUGAGGAAGACCAGUGGCGAAGGCGGGGUCUCUGGACAGUUCCUGACACUGAGACACGAAGGCCAGGGGAGCAAACGGG
rnacentral:rRNA from 1 species